AUGACGCAGAAACACCGUCGUCGCUGGAUCCAACCACCAAAGGUUAGAUCGUGGGUUUUCACCUUGAAGAUCAAGUCUGAGCAAUGCCUUCAUCAGGGUAACGAUGCAAAACACAAGUUCAUGUUCGAACUUGGGUGGUUGCUUUGGGGUGGCUUCCAUGACAUGGUCAAGGAGGCGUGGGAGAAACCGGUGGCCGAGCCUACCCCAAUACAUAGAUGGAAUAACAAAAUGCAUGCAUUAUGUAAAUUCCUUGGUGGUUGGGCUAGGCAUAUGAUGGGUAUCCUCAAAAAGGAGAAGCUUCAUCUUUCAUCUAUCAUUGAUGAAUUAAAACCUUUGGCAGAGGAUGAGGGCACGAUUGAGGGGUAUGAACAAUGUAGAUCUUAUAUCACUUAUUAUUAUAAAAAUCUGCUUGGAGCCCCAGAGGAAGGAAACCUCUCGAUGGAUGAGUCCCGAACAGAUGACAUCCCCCGGGUCUCUAAGCUAAAUUUGGUUGCUGAACAUGUGGUUCGGCCUUCACAAACAACUUUUAUGCAAGGCAGAAACAUCAUAGAUGGAGUUGUUAUCCUUCAUGAAACAGUCCAUGAAUUACACCAGAAAAAGUUGAAUGAGGCGGUACUCAAAAUAGACUUUGAAAGGGCUUAUGACAUAGUCAAGUGGCUCUUUCUUCAACAGACUCUCACAAUGAAAGGAUUUACUGUAGAGUGGUGCGCUAUGAUCCAUAGCUUCGUUUCUGGAGGUAGUGUUGCCAUUAAGGUCAAUGAUGACGUUGGACACUAUUUUGAAACGAAGAAGGGAUUGCGACAAGGUGUCUUGUUAUCACCCAUGCUAUUCAAUAUAGUGGCGGAUAUGCUAGCGGUCCUGAUUGAGCGUGCCAAGGUUGAUGGCCAAGCUGAUGGGGUAGUAAAUCAUCUAGUUGAUGGUGGUCUCUCUAUACUUCAAUAUGUCGAUGAUAUGAUUCCCUUCAUCGAUCAUGACCUCAAGAAAGCGAGAAAUCUGAAAUUGAUUUUCUCAGCAUUCGAGCAACUCUCGGGGUCUUAA
rnacentral:rRNA from 1 species